GCUGCGUUGUUAGAAAUCUGUGAGAGUUGAUUGAGAGAUCCCAACAUACGUUAGCUCGAACAAAUACGCGUUGGUGGAUAUUGGCUUCAGACCGAAUAAGUGUCUAGUCUUGCUGAUUACUCUCUGCAGGUUGAAUCCACAAUGACCGACAUAUGUGCACAAGUUCUCAAGGCUGUAUUGAAUGAUGUCUUAUCUUGAAAUGUCAAAAUGUGUCUUAGUUGAAUUGGCUCGGGUUGCUGCAUGAGUACUUAUGGCGUGAAGUACAACGUGGGUCUUAGCUUAGGCUUUUGAUUUGAACUGUUUGGAUGAAACUGUUUGGUGGAUGAAUCUGAACAUGAGUUGAUGAAUGUGCGUAUGGCCGGUUUAGUGUAGGCAUAGCUUGAUUUUUGUUUAGUGAGUGCAUGAGGAGGUGAAGGAGGAUAUGAAGAGCAUGGCUGUAACGAGGUGGUAUGUCGUGAAGCUUCAAUAGUAUACGGCAAUGAGGAGAGACUUAGAUGUUAGGUUCUGCGUAUAACUUUAGAUGUAAACUCCUCAACGCAAUGUAAUAAUGAUAUUGUAAUAAACUUUGUAUUUUAUUUGUAAUGCACUCUUGGAUUUUGUAAUGGACAAAGCUUGAAUUAAACAGUGAAUGAAAUUGUAAUGGAGCUUGCAAAUGAUCCUUUUUGUUGAAUUGAGGAGAACUUGUAAUGACUUGUAAUGGA